AAGGGAUACUAAGAAUUUAAGUU
rnacentral:snRNA from 1 species